AAGCAUCGCUCUAAUCUGUGCCUCUGUGGUCACAUAGCCUCCUUCCCCAUGUGUCUGUGCAGGUACCUUGUCUUCUUAUAAGACACUGGAUUUAGGGCCCAGUCUAGAGUGGGAUGAUUUCACCUUGAGAUCCUCAACCAAUGACAUCUUCAAAGAACCUAUUUUAAAACAAGGUCACUUCAGAGGUUCCAGGUGAGUGGGGACUACUAUUCAAACUACACCAGCACCCCUCACUUGAGGCAUAGGGAAGUUCCCCAGGCCAGGGAUGGAAUCAGAGCUGCAGGUUGGACCUACGCCACAGCUGAGGCCAAGCCAGGUCCUUAACCCACUGCAACACAGCAGGAACUCCUGAUUUUUUUUUUUUUUUAAUGAGAUUGUAUUCCUGUAUGACUUAGGAGAUUAAGAAACAAAUUGAAACAACAACAACAAAACGGUGUUAUAGGAAGACAGACACACCUAUUUUUAGGUGUUUUUUUUUAAUUUUUAUUUUUUCGAUUAUAGUUGAUUUACAUUGUGACACACAAACAUUUAAUUGCUUGCUGGACUGUGGGAGAGGUGGUGGAUGGGAAGAGAGGGGAAGGUAAUAACGACAGCGAACACUUGUAGAGGGUUUACUAUCUGCCCGACACUAUUUUUUUUAGUUUUACUGGUGUAGAGAUGACUUACAAUGUUGAAUUCGUUGCAGGUGUACAGCAAGGCAGCAUACAUGUACAUAUAUCUAUGAUUUUUUCUGGAUAGAUUAUUACAGGCUUUCGAGUAGAUUUCCUUGUGCUGUAAUCCGUGUUGAUUAUCUAUUUUAUAUACAGUCAUGUAUACAUAUUAUCCCCAUCUCCCGGUUUAUCCGUCCCCAACUUUCCCCUAUGCUGAACGUAAGUUCGAUUUUGAAAUCUGUGAGUUUCUGUUUUAUACAUAAGUUCCUUUGAAUCAUUUUUAAAUUAAAUCCCACGUAUUAGUGAUAGCACAUAUUUGUCUCUCUCUGCCAGACCCUAUUUUAAGUGCUUUUUACAUGUGAAACCCCUUAAUACUCAUAGUAACCUUAUGAAGGAGGUGCUGUUAUCGUUUCCAUUUUACAGAUGAGAAAACUGAGGCACGGAAUACUGAAGGGACUUGCCUAAGCUCCCAGGGGAGCCCCAUGUUGGGAAUCCAGUCCGUCUGACUCAGAAACCGUGCUCAUAACGGCGUUGCCUUGCUGUCUCUUCAUGUGUGGGCAGACAUAGAAGAUAGAGAUCUGAUGAAAGAAAACUGUCACCACUUCCUAAAUACAUUCAGACACACAUCCUCCCCGCUCCCCUCCAAGCACGACAGUCACAAAUGAACAUGUCAGUUCUAUGGUUAGAUGUGUUGGGAGUACUUCAGUGGCAGAGUCCAUUGAAUGGGACAUUGUCAGAUAUUUACUUAGAAUAAAUAAAGACCAGUAUGGACUGAGUGAAAUAUGGUGGUUCCCACGCAUCACUGACUGCCUAGCAGACCGCUCAGACCACAAGUGGUUUCAACCAAUCAGAGUGCAGCAUCGCUCUGCUCAAAGAAGCCGCCUACCCAAGGGGGUUCGCUGCUGACACUGACUUGUAGCAAAUGUACCUAAACUGCAGUUGCCCUCCACUUGCUACAAUACAAGCCACACACACACACAGAGUGAAGAAAGGGGAAUUAGUAGAUGCCAUCUUUAAAAUAAGAAGAAUGAUUAUAGUACUUACAUUAAAAAAUGUCUGGGGCUGUGCCGCAUAUUCAUUCUCAUUCAACUCUUCCCAUAACCCUCUGAAUCAUGGCUGGUCCCAAGGCUGGGAGGGUGACUAAUAAUAAAGCGGUGGGUUAUCUUUAUGAUAAAAGGGCUCUGGGCUUUUGUUCCUGUAAAUCUGCUUCAGGGGCUUUCCUCCCUCUGAAGUGGACUUGCUGUGGCUCUCUGCACAUUCCACGAGGACAAAUCUGUGGGGCAACAACUCCCUAAUUGAACAUUUGGGACCUCUUCCCGGUGGCAAGUUUGGUGUGUGUCACUUUUUUUUUUUCAGGUAGUUUCCCUUGUCUGAAUAACUUCUUGCAUGAAAACAAGUCCUUCAAGUAUACUGUCUACAGCGCGGGGCACGGCAUGGCAUCCUCACGAAGCAGAGACCUCGAGCUACACCAGGCUGGUUGGAUCCCAGGGUGUUUGUCCCCCCGACAGGCCAGAUCAAGACUCCUCCUGUCUUGUCCUGCUCUCAUGUAGGGCCUCAUUUGAUGGACGAGAGCAGCUAACAGCACCGUGCGGUUGGAGACAUGAAAUUCUGGGCUUCAAAGUCACCCCACUGACCUUCAGAUCCCAGCUCCAUCCUUUCCUGGUCACUAUGACCUUGGCAAGGUCCUCAACUCUGAAGCCUUAGUUUCUUCAUCUGUAAAAUGGACAUAAGUAACACAACCGCCAAAGGAUGGCGCUUGAGGAUUAAUGGAGUCACUCUAUGGAUUGCGCUUUGCAUAGUGCCUGGUGCUUAGUCCCAGAAAAUGUGAGCCAUCAUCCCUGGGCAUCAACAGCCGAAUUCUGUGCAAUCUUGCUCCUUCUCAGGUUCUAGGGUGUGAUGGCAGCAUCAGUCAGUGGGACUCAAGAGCAUUGCUCUGCAUCACUGCAUCAUGUAAGGAGUCAUCACCCAUCUGCUAGCAUCCGAUGGAAAAAAGAGAAAAGGAAGAAGAUAAAUGUUUCUUGGAGACCCACUUUUAAAAUCUAUUCAACCGCUCCCUUCAGAAUGGAGGUGCUGCUGGUCGGGUCCAUUUUCCUUUGGGGUACAAGCCCACAAGCCCUGCUGGUGUUUCUUUUCUGAAACCAGAGCAGGUUUCUCUCCCCACAGGAGCCCCAUUCUUUCCUCUGAACCAGAAGGGAAGGUCCCCUUUCUUCUUUCAGUAACGGGUAAGAACAACGUUUCAUUGAAGACGUGAAUGGAACAUUUCUUACCCCAGACUCUCCCGGCUGCAGACGCAGGAAUUUUUCUCUCUCCCUGGGCUUCCAAAGAUCACGAUUCCUGCUCUCUACAGGCAGCCAGGUGGCCCAGGAUUCCUGCACAAACGGACAAGUUGGGGUGGGAGGCGGGUGCUUAUUUGCAGGGGCUCCACAUCAGGCCAUCUGACCUGUGAUUGAUUUCUACCAGGCUCACAUCCAAGAAUUUCCCCUGCUUCCUCUACCCCCAGGUCUGUGCUGAGCCCCCCCCCCCCCCCCCCCCAGCGGCAUCCUUUCCUUUAAUUCCUGUCUCUUGCUUUAUUUGGGGUUAGAGCACUUAGCAUCCCCUGGCCCAUUUCUAGUAACAGGGAUGCAGUCUGGUCACCUCUCGUGGGACCUCAAGCUCCAGGAGAUGUUCAUUAUUGAGUGCCCAGUGUCUGGCACAGAACCUGGCACACAGUAGGUGCUCCGUAACAGAAGGGGUGAGGUUGGAUCAAUCAACCGACUGGCACAGUCCUUCUGUGGCUUGGUCCCUGCUCUCUGAACAGAGGCAUUCGGCUGGUGAGACAAAGCUCACUGAGGGCAGAUGGAGAUGAACUCAGGCAGAGAAGCAGGGCCUUGAGGGCAGCAUGAACUGUGUGUGUGUGUGUGUGUGUGUGUGUGUGUAUGUGUGUGUGUGUGUGUCUGCCGGAUGGAGGAGGCCAGGUGACCGACUGCCUGCCGGUCAGCCCCACAGCACUGGCCCUUCAGGUGUGUGGUUUCCUGGUGCUCUCGGCGGCAGUGUACCCAGAAACCGCACUGAUGUUUCCAGGAAGUCUGCGCCGACUGCUUCUGCUCUGCAGGUUCUUUCCCUCGUCCCUUUGUCUCUCUCGCUGUUGCUUGCAAAUUAAAAAGCAAGGCAGGAAGCAAUGUUCAAAAUAAUCAAACCGCAGCUAAGGGAAGUCGCUACCAAAGGAAGAAAGAAGGAAAAAUUGAGUGGCGUGUUAUUCCGGACGGCGUUAUAACCAGGCUCUGGGAUUAUUCACUCUGUGAAACCUGCAGGGGUCUGGGGGAGUUAAUGGGCCCCUUUGCAUCACUUAAAUGGGCCAUCAAAAUUAGCAUCAGCAUCUUGGUGGGUCACCAGCUGGAAAAAGUCACGCUCUGGGGAGGGAAGGAUAUUAAGAAAAAGGGAAAAUCCGCAGCUCCAGGCGCCUAUGUUGCAAGUGCUCACUGCUCUCAGGGGACUCCUCUCCAUCACAUCCGCUUCAGUCCUGGCACAAAGGAAAAUCUGAAGACCCGCAGGGUGGAGAAAUGGGCAACCCAGCUUCCCCGGCCUAAAACUGGGUGCCUUGAGGACGGACAGGGGGAGAGAGAGGCUGAGAGGCUCUGAGCUCCAAGGUUCGGCGCCGGGCAGAGCUGUGGAGGUCCCAGCGCUUGGAGAAGGGGCUCUCCUCAGAAAGGGUUCAUGGCUACUUCAAGUUUUUCAACUCUGAAAUAUGAAAAGAAGUCAAAACAGGGCCACAAAAACUGCAGCACAUUUAAAAAUAGUCAUACCCAACAGAUUAGCCCUUUUCAUACACAAGCAAACAAGGCAAUUGUAUUAUUCACAAGGUAAAUUCAGGUCUUAUUAAAAGCAUGAAAUCAGGAGUUCCCGUCGUGACUCAGGGAGUUAAGAACCCAACUAGUAUCCAUGAGGAUGAGGGUUCGAUCCCUGGCCUUACCCUGUGGGUGAAGGAUCUGGCAUUGUCGUGAGCUUUGGUGUAGGUCACAGACGCUGCUCGGAUCCCAGUUCUGCUGUGGCUGUGGCUUAGGCUGGCAGCUGUAGCUCCGAUUCACCUCCUAGCCUGGGACAGUCCAUGUGCCUCAGGUCAGCCCUAAAAAGAAAAAAAAAAUAAAGUAUGAAUUCAGAGUGUACUUCGGGGCGGGGCGGCGGGGGGACAUAGGACAUGCGUGUGUCUCUGGCAAUCUCCUUUUAUGGUGUCAGUGGAUCCCCUGGACACUCUUGGUGACUCGGUCAGGGAUCCUGUCAAAAGUUUAAAUUUGAGUUCUUCCCAUGAAAAUGAGGAGCCCCCUCCAGGCUCAAAUACUCUGAGCCACCAGGGCACCGCUGGCCAUCCUGUGAUAUUUGUUUUUGCGUGUCCUGCUUUGCUCCCAAGAAGCCAUGGAGGGGCCCCCUCUCAACAGGCACUGAGGGCGGGGCUGCCUCCGAUGAAUUGGCAGCUCCACUGCUGGCUCCUCGGGGCCUUUGCAAACAUCAGGGUUUGUUUAGGACAUUUUCUCUGAGUCACCCCUGGUGAUAAGACAGGCAGGGAACAUCUAAGCAAAGUCAGAUUUUGGAUUUUUACCCUCGGAGGGUUUGAUUUCUGAAUGUGCAAGUUCCUUGACAAAACUGCCGUAGCUUUGACAGAACUGUACUCAUUCUGGGAGCCAAAGCAGACAAUAAGAAACAAAACACUGAUCAAAAGGAGUGCAAGAAAAGUCUUAAUCAUACAUUGGUUUUAUUGAAUCUAAAGAGAGAUUGCUGAAAAUCGCAGCCAAAUGGUACUCCGUACUAUCAAAUUGGGAUAGAAUGCAUGUGUGAAAUGUUUCAAGAAAGAAACAUUUCAAAGCUAAUAGCAAUAGCUUUGUUACCACGUGGAUAUUUUAAAAAUAUGGGAAUCUAUUCUAUGAAAGAGAAAAACAAGGAUACUUUGUUUACACAUUAUUCUCUCAAGAUAAGGAAUGCUAAAUGCUUAUCAACAGCCAAAUGUUGUAAAAUUUAGAGCAUGAACUUUUCCGCGUCAUCAAAAAUGUUUUGAUUGAAAUGAAAAAAACAUUAAAAAAAAAAA
rnacentral:lncRNA from 1 species